AGAUGCUGAGGGACGUUCCCUCUAUCCCUGUACUCUGAAGGGUUUGGAUCUGCCAUGGAUGCCGUAUUUUGUCAAAUGCUUCCUCUGCGUCUCUUGAGAGGAUCAUCUGGUUCUUGUUUUCUCUCUUGCAGAUCUGAUGAAGCCCAUCGAGUGUUCUCCGAGUGCUGAAGCAGCCUUGCACCCUGGCGAUUAACCCCACUGGGUCGUGAUCUGAUGAAGCCCAUCGAGUGUUCUCCGAGUGCUGAAGCAGCCUUGCACCCUGGCGAUUAACCCCACUGGGUCGUGAUCUGAUGAAGCCCAUCGAGUGUUCUCCGAGUGCUGAAGCAGCCUUGCACCCUGGCGAUUAACCCCACUGGGUCGUGAUCUGAUGAAGCCCAUCGAGUGUUCUCCGAGUGCUGAAGCAGCCUUGCACCCUGGCGAUUAACCCCACUGGGUCGUGGUGAGUAACUUCUUAAUCAUGUCCCGUCGGAUCCUGUUGGCUCAUAUCUUGUGGAGAAGGUGUGCGUCCGCCUUAAUCAGGGACAUCGGUCCAGCAUUGUCCCCUUUUGGGGUCUUGGGUUUUGGAGUUAAGGUGAUGCUGGCCUCCAAGAACGAGCUUGGAAGUAUUCCAUCUCUUUCUAUCUUUCGGAGCAGCUUU